GGGGGAAAGCUCCUCCUACAUAAGCUACAUAUAAUCUACCAUCGGUUAAAAAGUCAUUGUUGAUUCCUGCAGGUGGGGCAGAACCAUUUCCCUUUGAACCUUGUUUCUGGCGUCAGUCCAACGCAUGAAUAAUGGAACCAUUCACCUCCCUCACACUGUGGAUCGAAAACAACCAAAUGAAAAGUAGAUGAUACAAGCUGACGGUAAAGAUGUUGGGCAAAUUAUUAUAGACGACAGAUAAAUACCAGGAAGAGAUCGGGCAAAAUUAACAACAAAAAGCCAUUACGUCCCAUCUACAGUUUAGUUUGAUAUUAUAUAAAAUGAAGAUUUUGAUCUAACAAAAUUCAAAAGCAUUAAGUUCUGAUGAGAAGUACUCUCAGUGUAAAUGUUAAGAACGAAGAUAUGAAAACUAACAAAUGGAAUUCCAAAUUGAAGCUGAUGCUUUAGGAAAAUAACACCUACGUUCCUGGAUUUAAUGUUAAAACAGUCCCAAAAGAAUUUUCAAAUAGAAAAUCAUAGAGGAAAACAGAAAGAAGAAGAAUGCUAGCAAAACAAUUUUCUAUUCACUUAUUUAUGUCAGUUACUGUCAGUUGAUUGGAAGUUCUUGAACAGAUAAAAGAUGCAGCUAAAAACAAACUUGACUUGCAGAAUGCCUCGUAGAAGAAAAUGUUCAAUUCAAUGUGAAAAUCCGCAAGCAAUAAUAAACCAGAUAAUAUAGUGCAGGAAACUUACAUUUUCAUUGUCACAUGCAAUCAUAUCUCCAAAUGACACCUGAAAAUAUGGAGAACAAAAAGUAUAGGUUUGGUUAAAAAAGUAUUCUGUACGUAUUUAUGGUUAGUACAUAAUGUAAAUUGUUUAUAUAGGUUGUACAAAACCUGAUGGCAGACACAAUAUGUUGGCUCAUUUGGAUCAAUAGGCUGAUCAACAUCAACAGAUGCUGGAAUAUUUUUCUUAUGACUGCUUGGAGGAGGCAUAAAUUCAAUAUCCAUAUCCUGCUCUCUGCCCCAAUCCCUUUCUCUAAACUUCCUU
rnacentral:lncRNA from 1 species